rnacentral:rRNA from 1 species
AUUGAACGCUGGCGGCAUGCCUUACACAUGCAAGUCGAACGGCAGCACGGGUGCUUGCACCUGGUGGCGAGUGGCGAACGGGUGAGUAAUACAUCGGAACAUGUCCUGUAGUGGGGGAUAGCCCGGCGAAAGCCGGAUUAAUACCGCAUACGAUCUACGGAUGAAAGCGGGGGACCUUCGGGCCUCGCGCUAUAGGGUUGGCCGAUGGCUGAUUAGCUAGUUGGUGGGGUAAAGGCCUACCAAGGCGACGAUCAGUAGCUGGUCUGAGAGGACGACCAGCCACACUGGGACUGAGGCACGGCCCAGACUCCUACGGGAGGCAGCAGUGGGGAAUUUUGGACAAUGGGCGAAAGCCUGAUCCAGCAAUGCCGCGUGUGUGAAGAAGGCCUUCGGGUUGUAAAGCACUUUUGUCCGGAAAGAAAUCCUUGGCUCUAAUACAGUCGGGGGAUGACGGUACCGGAAGAAUAAGCACCGGCUAACUACGUG